rnacentral:lncRNA from 1 species
UCAGAAGUUAAACCCCUAUAGGCAUGCUUUCUACCCUUUAUGCAUAAAAUAAACCCCAUCCUUUUUCUAGUACAUCCCCAUGAGUUUAUUACAGAUUAUUGCAAACCAAUACAUCAAACUGAAACUAAACGUACAUCAGAAACUACAGCUACAUACGAGAGACCUAAUUCAGACUUAAUGUCUAACAAUUUGAGAUGAACCACUUCCAGGAUCAAUAUUUCCAAAGCCUUCUCUUAUCUAGGGUGUUUCAAAGUUCCAAGGAGUUUCUGGAACUCCAGGCAAUGAUUACACCCUAGAUAUUAAUUAGAAUGAAUCAAAGUGCACUGUGGAAGGGCCAGCCCUCAAGUGUCCAAGUUCAGAGGGAGCUCACUGGUCCCAAGGCAAGGCUCACAAGGGGGGAGGGACAAAACUUAAAUUUUAGGAAGAAGUGCAAGUGCAAUAGAAGUGGUUAAGGAGUGCCAAGGCAGGCUGGUGGUCAUGCCCAACCAUAUGAUAGGAUAGCGCACCUCUGACCAGCCUAUCAGCCAAUCAAAUAGGAGUAAGGACCUAUUGAAGGUUAGACCAGGGUCUGGACAGUGAUUAGGACACUGUCAGACCGAUGUCUCAAACUCACUAUACAUAUAAGAGGGAAUGGGGAUAGGAAUUGAAAGAGUUUAGGACUCAAGAGGGUCAUCUAGUUCAUGUCCAUGGACAAUAACAUCAAGUAUUGCCAUGUGUUUUAACCAUAUCUCAUCCACACAAGGGGAAUUAAGGAUUGGGAUUCAUACAACAACAGAAACAAUAACAGAAGAAAGCUUGCAGAAAGUUACAAUACAUAAAUAGUAAGCCAAGCAAAAGGUGAAAUGUAGAAUAAACACAUAGGGGGAGAAGCAGAAAUUAAACAAAGAACAUACCAGUUUCAGAAAAAUAAGCAAAGAACGCAGGAUUCUUGCAAGCAAAGCCACAAUCAUAGAGAGAGCACUUUGUGCUUGUGAGUCCAGAGAACUCGAGUGUUAGUGAAAAUUCUAGUGUAUUUAAGAGUAUUCAGCGAGAAGUAAUCAGAUUGAUUGUAUCAAAUUAACCGUGUCUAAAGUACAAAAGGGCAACCCCUUUUAUAGUGUAGAAAAACAAGUAAGAAAGGCAAGAAGAUAUCACUGAAAUCAGACUCCCUUGUUUAAGGGAUUCUGAUUCCAACGGGUAAAAAUAAGUUAAGGAAAGAGAACUGGGUAAAAAAUAUUUCAAAGUGGAACAAAAAGGGUAAGUACAUAAAAGUUAUUUAAGGAAAAUAAUCAACAGUAUACGAUUUGUGCCAAAUAUGGUAAAUAAAUCAAUUAAACAGUCAUGAAACCAAAAUUGCAGGUUCCUUUUGAAUGAACCCAGUCAAUAAAGGUAGAGGAAGUUCAAUCGAAGAAAAAAUUAGUGGCAAUGAGUCAAAGACCUCUAUCAAAUGGAGUUAGAAUCGAGCAAUUAGUUGUCAAAACCAUUUGAAAGCAGAGUUCUCAUAUAAAGCAAGCAAAUCAAAUGAAGGAGUCUAACAUUGAAAGGUUUAGGGUCAUAAACCAAAGAAUACGAGUUCAGUUAGAGACUCAUAGUGAGUCUGAAGGUACAUGGUCCCAAAGUGAAACCCUAAUCCAAUUUAUCAAAGAAAUCCCCAAAUUCUAGGGUUUCAAAUUGAAUCAAACCCAGAAAUGAGAAGGCAAGUGAACAGACUCAAGGAGUCUCAUGAGAAACAAACAGACCAUGAUAACAUGUUUGAAAUAAUAAUAGAAAGAAAAUCUAUUUGAGAGCAUAAAAGGACACGUUUUGGAAACUCGGAACUUAGACAAGUCCAGAAUAGACGAAACAUGCUUAGCAAGAACACAAACAGAGUUCAGAAAAGCAAAACUCAAGAAACUUAGUAGUAAACACACAUGGUAGAAGAGUGAGGAAAAUUUAACACAGAUUAAUCAUGUGAGCACACAUAUAAAAGAAAAGAAGGACAAUACAUGCGUAAUAGAGAAGGAAAACAUACGAACAUAAUACAAACAAACAUCUAAAAGAAAAGAACAGCAAGAAUCGAAGGACAUUCAGAAACCCUCAUUUGAAAUCAAACGAUUUUUGAGAAGAAAAUUUGGGAAAACACUCAAAACGUCAAGAAGAACAUAGAUAUAACAUAGAUCUAAACAAAUAACGGUGAAAUAACCUCGGAUGGAUUAGGGUUUCAUAGAAACCCUAGAAGUGAGAAAGGCUUGGAAGAACAAGAUCAGAUCCUUAGUCGAAACGGCCAGGAAUCAAGCUUUCAACGCUUGACCAUGCCGGAGCGUGGCCAAAUAAUUAAAGAUCUACGUAUUUGAGGCGGAUCUGAAAAAGAGACCAUCGAGGUCAAGCCUCCAAACCUUGAAGCUUAGGCUCAAAGGUGAUAGAGGGUGAGCACAGUCCAUCCAUGGCUGGAGAUGCCAUGGAUUCCGGUGGGAAUGAGGUGAUAUAAGGCAGAAGGUGAUUAGGGUGUAUGAGAGGAUAGAGAGCAUUUCAGAGAUGAAGGGUUUCAAGGGCAGCACCUUUUGUGCGAAUGAG